GUAGCUGAAGAUAUUGGACGCCAGGUAUCACUUCAUUUCCAUAUCAAAACAUCCAGUUGAAAAUAUAUAUCUUAGGAUGAAUUUUGUUUCAAUGUGAAUUAUUAGAUCUAUUGAUUGCAUGAUUUGUUCCAGUAGAUUUAUCAAUCACAUUGCUUGGUAGAGACAAUCCAAAAGUAUGUAUCCUAUUUUUUCAUGCCGUUUUUACUUGGACUUAUGCAUGGAGUAAGGUGACAAGUAUGUUGGAUUGUCAGAGUCAAUAUGACCACUUAUUGUGUGUUCUCUUAGUCUGUUAAUGUUCCAGUUUUGUUUUUAACAGUACUAAUAAUCCGAUUGAAUAUGAGAUGAUGCUAGUAUCUGAAUAUGUCAGCCUUGAAAUGAUUAGUUGACUAUUUGAUUCGAUUUUUAUAGUGACUAAUAUUCUGCUGUAUCAAGUAAUACAUAUUAAUUUAUCUGAUAUAUUUCAGUAUUUUUUUGCUCCUCAUUAAUUUAAAUCUUACUAUACAUAUGCAACCUGUAGUAACAUUAGACCUUGCUGAACAUGAUAGUGAAACCAACAAAAUAGUGUAGUCAUCUUGAAAGAAAAUAUUGUGAUCAUGAUACUGAUAUUUUGAGGUUAUUUUGUGUUGUCAAUAUCGGAACAAUGACUGAGCUACAUCUUUGUGUUUUGUUAUUUUACUAGCAAAAAUCAGCUGUUGUCAUCACUCUGCAUCCAGGAUAUAUAGUGUUCUUGUAUGGAUUUAAUUGCCAAAAUGAUCAUUGGAUUCAUCAUAUGGUACCGAUAUAUUAAGUUAUUUUGUGAUAUCCUGAUUGGAGGUCAUCUUGUGCUUCCUUAUUUGAUUACCAAAUAGUAGCUGUUUUCAUGAUUUGUGACUCCCUAUCCAAUAUCUAUAAUGAUGUUCUUUUAUGAUCUAAUAGUCAAGAGAUCAUUGUUCAAAGUUAUUGGUGGCAAAUUGGCAAUCAUAGUUGUAUCAAGCGUAGAUUGACCAAGAUUUUGCUGCAAAAUAUUGCUGUACAUUAUUACCGUUUCACUUUUAUUGUUAUCUGUUAAUGGUUGCAGCUACUUACAUAUGGUAGGAGAAUUCCAUUUGCUGAAUUGUUUGCUAGGAUUGAUGCUGUUGAUGCAAGCACUAUUAAACGCGUUGCCAACAGAUUUAUUCAUGACAAGGAUGUUGCAAUUGCUUCCAUGGGUCCCAUCCAGGGGUUGCCUGACUACAAUUGGUUCAGACGCAGGACUUACUUGAACCGCUACUAGAUUGUCACCUUUGUUUUAUUACUGCGUUGGCACAUUAUGGGCGGUUACAAACGCAUUGCUGCUUUUACAACACAACCAAACAUCUUUUUGGGGCCGCCCCAAGAGGCUGGCUUUUUCAAAUCUUUUUCUUUUAUUUAUAGGUUUUUCUGUGUAAUGCUAGUAUUGUUGCAGUAAUAAAGAAUGCAGUGAUAAGAAAAUUGGUGCUUCUAAUCAAAAGCAGAUUUUGUCGAUUUUUUCCAACUGGAUUCCUCCUUGCUUGCAUGGCGAUGGUGUUUCAGGCUUUAAUUGUUAUUUGUUAAUUCAACCGCCCAGAUAAGCAGUCUUGUUUGAGCCAACCCAUUGAAUGCUUUGGAUCCUUCCCAGGAUUUUAUCUUUAAUAAAUUGAAUAUAUUAUUCUGUUGUUAAUUUUUAAGUUUAUUUUCAAAAUUUCUUUUUAUUAGUUAAACGGCCACCUCUCAAGAAAAAAUUAUAUUAUUAUACAACGGUGGAAGGACAAACUAACAUGGAUAAGAGUGAGCCUAGCCUUGCAAAUGAGAAGGCGAUCUCAAAAGAAAAACUGUCAGGUAAUUUUUUCCUGUAAUAACUGUAUUCGGCUACAUGUAUAAAUUGUAGAGGAUGGUUGAAUGAUUACUCUUACAAGAGGCCACGUAUGUUCUUUCCUUCUAAGUAUGGAUGAUGGAUAAGGAAAAGUAGUUGUUGGUUGAUCCAAUAAUAGCAACCGAUCAUGAACCUAUUAAAAUUGUAAUUGCAACGCUGAUCUAUUAAAUCUCUACAAUUUAAUAGAUCAGCCUUAAGUAAAGACCCCACACCGCAGUCACUGCUUGCACAAGUCGUUGGAGGAGACGAACGUCUCGUGUUCCUCUCUCUCACUCUCCCAUUCCCCCUCCCCACCCCCCCAACCCCAAAACCCAAAAACAUUGUGUGCAAUGCCGAAAUGUGGAAUGGGUGUGGGUAGUUAAGAAACUUGAAUACCUUUGAUGUGAACUGGUGUUUCGUUGUAAAUAUCGAAACCCAUUUCUCUUUAAAAAAUUUGGCUAUUGCCAUUGGCUUCGUUGGCUUUUUGUAUUUCAUUUUCUUGAUUUACUAUCGUCUUUCUUCGAUCCCAUCGCCAACUUUUCUCCUACAAAUCUCCACCCCCCACCCUCGCUCUCUCCUCUGUUAUUUUUCGUUUCCUGGUUUUUAUAUCUUGGUCUUGUGGCAAAUUAAUCAACAAUGGCUUCCUUAUCAGUUCCAGGCCCUAAGCACUCUUUAGUUGCUCAUGUUGGAUCCAAUGCUCCAAACCCACAUCCCAAGUCCACCAUUUCUUUUCCUCCUCGUGCUUCCACUCUUCUUGGAUUUCAGGUUUGUUCUUGCUUUCUUAACAAUAAUGUUUGGUUAUUAUCUUCGUUUUAUCUGCAUUUGUUUUAUUUUCAGCUUUUAUUCUCUUUAAGCUUAAUUUGAUUGUUUCACCGCGACAGUAGUGGAAUGAGAACAGUUUUUCCGAUUUCUGGUUGCUAACGUUUAUGUUUAUAUGGGAUUGGUCACGUCUGCCAGUACGCAUUGGUUAUUAUUGCUCUUUUUUUUUAAUAAAAAAAAUAUUCAUGUGCUGAAAAUUUUUGAGCAUCUGGGAUCAAUUCAAAUGUAUGGAAUUGUAAUUUUCUAAAUCUUUAUCAGCCUAGUUUUGAUCCUAAAUAUACCAACUUCUAUAUGGGAUUGUCACAUCUGCCAGUAUGCAGUAGUGAUGGUGGUGGUGAUUAUUGCUCUUUUUUAAAAAAAAAAAUUAUAUGCAGGAAAAUUCUAAGUGUCUGGGAUCAAUUCAAUCGUAUGGAAAUGUAAUUUCUGAACCUUUGUCAGCCCUGUUUUGAUCCUAAAGAAUCAACAGAGACCUGAGUUGCCUCCUGUAGACUAUAGUUGAAUCACUAUCGACUUCAAUUUUUCAUCUGCUUUUUAGUUAGAACUUCAUCUGCACUCAAUUCUGAGCCCAGCAAGUCAAGCUAUUUUCAGCUUAUAAAUGGGAUUUAAACUAUCUUUUUUGUGAUCAUUACACAAAAGCCUAACAAUAAGCACUUGAUUUUCAAUUUGUAAUACCCUUAUGUCUCAGCGGAAAUACUAUUGCUCUUGAUUGUUGGAUGAUAUGGUUCUCUUUUGCAGUGGCCUGACAGGAAGCAAUCUCCUGUUACAAAGGCGCAGGCACAGCUGAAUGAGGUUAUCUUCGAGAAGUCUUCAAAUUCUACACCAGUGCUGGACACUAACUCCAAAGUUCCAUCAUCUGAGAAAAAAGAUGAGCCUGCAGAAAACAUUCCAGAGGCAUCAUCAAUUUCGGCAUUCAUGACACAAGUAUCAGACCUUGUCAAGCUUGUGGAUUCAAGAGAUAUCACUGAGCUCCAACUGAAGCAAUUAGACUGUGAGCUCAUAAUUAGGAAAAAGGAGGCUUUGCAGCAGCCACCAACACCAGCUCCUGUCAUUUCAAUGCAACCUCAUUACCAACAUGCCCCACUUCCAUCUCCACCACCGGCAGCUCCUGCUUCUGCUCCUCCAAGCUCCACUCCUCCGGUUCCUACAGCUGCCUUGCCUUCCCCUGCAAGGACAAGCACUUCAUCUCAUACACCAUUGAAAUGCCCUAUGGCAGGAACCUUUUAUCGAUCUCCAGCACCUGGUGAACCUCCAUUUGUGAAGGUAGGAGAUAAAGUGCAGAAAGGUCAGGUUAUUUGCAUUAUUGAGGCCAUGAAACUAAUGAAUGAAAUUGAGGCUGAUCAAUCUGGAACCGUAGCUGAGAUUUUGGUAGAAGAUGGGAAACCAGUUAGUGUGGACACGCCAUUAUUUGUCAUUGCACCAUGAUUCACUUCAAAGAAUCAUUAUGCUCGGUAGCAGCCGGUAUUUGCAGAGAAGUUACUUUGAAGUUACGAUAUCUAGUCACCCUUCGAUUUUUUUUUUACUGUGUUACAUCUUCAAAAGAAUAAUUGUCAUAUCUUGGUCCAGGGAAAGCUCUAUUUUACUUUAUCAUUGAAUUUGAUAUGUGGCAGAAGCCUCAAUGCUUUAGAAUAUGGGUGAUGACUGAUUUUUAAAUAGUGUCAAAAAUUUAAGACAUUUUUGGAGUGACCCCAACACAAACAAACAAUCAACUUGUUGCGGGUUGAUUAGAUCAUGUGAUGGAAACCAUUAUGAAGAGCAUGCAGUUUCAAGCUCAAACAUUUAGAAGUUGGAUAAAAAUUAUGGAUUAUUUUAAAGGGGGAGUGCUUAUGCGACUGAUUUGCAAAUUCUCUCUUUCAGAAUACAGAUAUAUGAACGUUCCGACGAAUGAUGGGAAUGUUGAUAGUGGUGAAUUUCAAUAAAACUCUGAAAUGGGAGUAAGAGAAUCAAUUAUCAAGGGAAACAAUUGUUGCAUAUUAUUAUUUUAUUGAUUACUCAAAAUAAAAUGCCUCAUUUUUAAUAAAAAAUGAAAUGGCAAUAACC
rnacentral:misc_RNA from 1 species